UGGGGAAUAUUGGGCAAUGGAGGAAACUCUGACCCAGCGACGCCGCGUGAGGGAUGAAGGCCUUCGGGUUGUAAACCUCUUUCAGUAGGGAAGAAGCGAAAGUGACGGUACCUAAAGAAGAAGCACCGGCUAACUACGUG
rnacentral:rRNA from 1 species